AUUGAACGCUGGCGGCAUGCUUUACACAUGCAAGUCGAACGGCAGCGCGGGCUUCGGCCUGGCGGCGAGUGGCGAACGGGUGAGUAAUGCAUCGGAACGUGCCCAUUUGUUGGGGCUAGCCCGCCGAAAUCCGGAUUAUUACCCCAUACGCCCGUAGGGUGAAAGCGGGGGACCGAAAGCCCUUCGGCUCUUGGACGGUCCGAUGCCGGAUUAGCUAGUUGGUGGGGUAAAGGCUUACCAAGGCGACGAUCCGUAGCUGGUCUGAGAGGACGACCAGCCACACUGGGACUGAGACACGGCCCAGACUCCUACGGGAGGCAGCAGUGGGGAAUUUUGGACAAUGGGGGCAACCCUGAUCCAGCCAUGCCGCGUGCGGGAAGAAGGCCUUCGGGUUGUAAACCGCUUUUGUUCGGGAAGAAAUCCUCUGGGCUAAUACCCCGGGGGGAUGACGGUACCGGAAGAAUAAGCACCGGCUAACUACGCG
rnacentral:rRNA from 1 species